rnacentral:rRNA from 1 species
UACGAAGGGGGCUAGCGUUGUUCGGAAUUACUGGGCGUAAAGCGCACGUAGGCGGAUUGUUAAGUUAGGGGUGAAAUCCCAGGGCUCAACCCUGGAACUGCCUUUAAUACUGGCAAUCUCGAGUCCGAGAGAGGUGAGUGGAAUUCCGAGUGUAGAGGUGAAAAUUCGUAGAUAUUCGGAGGAACACCAGUGGCGAAGGCGGCUCACUGGCUCGGUACUGACGCUGAGGUGCGAAAGCGAUGGGGAGCAAACAGGGGAUUAAGA